UUCUUUACCCUUGCCUCAGUGUAUAUAUAUUCACUUGUUCUCUAUUAUGCCUGUUGUUUCCUCGUGGUUCAGGCCAGUCUUCUGUCCAUGCUCCGAGCUCCAGGCUCUCUUCUCCUUGUGCCAACCUGUACUCCUCAAAGCUGGAAGGACAAAGCGCCAACCAUUCAAGAAAGACUGAUGUCUCCAAAACUUCACUGUAACAGAACCACAGCAAAGCAUUGUAUCUUGGGGUUUUCAAGCCUCCAUAAUAAUCAUCAUAUGCUAUCCAUAUAUCCAGGUUUUUUGGGAGGCAUACCAGGACAAAGCUUUUUCUGCCCUACCAUCACAAACACAAACAUGUGACAUUAGUUAAAUUCUACUGGGACCUUAAUUGGAACUGUGUGUUUUAGUUGGAUGAUACUAAGACCUACCUCAUACCUCCAGUCUGAUCGACUUUAAGGCCUGUGUGACAUAUAGGAAGGAGAGCUCUGCGGCUUUUUGUGAUUGGAGACAAUUCAUGAUUGGAAAACAAGGAUGCAAAAACUAUUUUUAUACUCUGGUGAAGAAUCACUUUAUUCUCUCCCUUUUUUAAGGUUUUUUUUUUUUUUUUUGUCACUAGUGGCAUGUGUUUCUCAGUAGGUUGACAGGAAAAGGGUGAUGAGAGGGGGAAGACAUGCAGCAAACAUGCCUGGACCAGGACUCGAACCAGCUCAUGGGCUGGUUUGUGAGGACUAAAGCCUCUGUACAUGUUCUUAACUCCUGUGCCACCGCUGCGCUGCCACUUUGAGUCAAUGGUCUAUUAUCUAGCCCAUUAUCGACUCUUAAGAGGUUGUUGUGAGAAUUACACAUUUCUGAUACCCCUCCAAGGGGUUUCUUAGCCCGUUCCGGUUCCCGAACGUGAUUUUUGAACCGGGGAUGUGUGUUUCCACCGAUUAAAAGAGGUUCCAGAUCACAAACUCUGGUUCAACUCAGGCAUUGCGAGAACUUGGUUUUUCUGAGCAAACCACAAUGUCAACCUUGGGCGGAGUGAUGCAGCAGACAGUAGAAGCAUCAAGUACAGUGGUGAAGACAAAGAACGUACCAUAUUAACAUAUUUAUAUGUUUGCGAAAAACACACUAAACAUGCAUUGUAUAACUACUGGUUUCCGUUUCACUUGCGGAUGCUGAACAUUUGCUAAUGAAAACAUUGUACACACCACUGUUCUUACCCUGAGUCUGUCUCCUUUUCUGAAUUAAGUGUAGUUAUGGAUGCUUUCUUCUUGCAUUUAAAGUAAUAUUGUACGCAACUCGGCAGGCUCCUCUGUCUCGCUACCACCCUUUUCCCCCGUGUUGUGUAACUUCCACUGUUGAUGACUCAUGCUUGGUUCCCAAAACUGGUUGAAACGCUCCAGCAGCAUUUGGUGUGAAACAAAGACUGAGUGUAAAAGCACCUUAAGCAUACUUUUGGGUGUUGUGCAGGAUCUGUGAUGCUUUGGGCCUGUUAUCUUCCAAAGGUUUGUCGAGCCUUGUUAGAGUGCAUGAAAUCAUGAAUUCUUUGAAAUACAAAUCUGGUGGAGGGUGCAGAAAACUGAAAAUAGGUUCAUAUUGUCUUUUAGCAAGGAUCCCUAACAUAUAUGACCAAAUCAACAGAUGUGGUUCAGAAAAACAAAAUCAACCUUAUAGCCACUCGCUAUUUGGGAAAAGCAAUUCUGUCUAAAUACUGAUCCUCUCCCACCCUACUGAAUAAAUGCACCAAGAAUAAAUACACCAACAAACUAAUUUUCAAUGUGAGAUGAAGCUACUUUUAAUACAUCUUUACCAGGUGCAGGGUGUCCUCCAAUCAUUGUGGAACAAAGGGAAGUUGAAUAUUUGUAAAUAUCUUUUGAAGCUGGUAAACGUAAUUUAUUGUCUGCAUCCCGUCAUUGAAGAAAUAAACAGUUUGGUUGUAGGAAAAGCAUUCAGUCAGCUGAGACUUUAGUGAGUCAAACUCAUGUUUGAGGGCUUUCCUAUUCUGUUUGCCUUGUGGUUUUGGAUCAAUAAAGUCUUUUCCAAUCUAAGGAGAGAAGCUGGCGAGCCGGCAAAAAGAUUUCUUGUAAUUGGUUAACUGUUUCAGUCAUUUGAGCUUAGGUGCUCAGAUCAAAACUUAUCCUGCUCCGAGGAACUGUAACAAACCUUCAUGGUCGGCAGGUUUUAGUUCGAUGAAGAGCUGAUCGACUGGAAUAUAAUCAAAACAAACAGACUUUUUAAUCGAGUUUUAUUCCUAUAGUUGUUGUUUUGAUGAUUUGAAUUGAUGUCGCUUAUUACAGCUCAGUUUAGGCAAAAUAUCUGCUUUGUCUCUGAAAUAUUGCUGAUUUCUGAAUCCAAAACUUUAUCUUCUGGAUGCAUUUUGACUCUCUUACAUUUUAAAGGUCAGGAACCAAACAACUGGUACAAUUUCAGCCAAGUCAAAUGUAGUAAAUGCUCCCGUCCUUGGAAUUUGGCAAUGCAUUGAAUGUUGCAUAAAUUAACCUAAUCAAUCUUUUAUCCUGUCACUACUGAAACAUGUUAAUAUACUUUAUUAUCCCAAAGGGAAAUUUGUCCUAAAAGCUACUUUACUACAGAGUGCAUUCAUAAAUGCAAUAAGCAUGAGCACAAAAUAAAAAUGUGUUUCAAAAUGUGACUAU